GACGAACGCUGGCGGCGUGCUUAACACAUGCAAGUCGAACGGAAAGGCCCUGCUUUUGUGGGGUGCUCGAGUGGCGAACGGGUGAGUAACACGUGAGUAACCUGCCCUUGACUUUGGGAUAACUUCAGGAAACUGGGGCUAAUACCGGAUAGGAGCUCCUGCUGCAUGGUGGGGGUUGGAAAGUUUCGGCGGUUGGGGAUGGACUCGCGGCUUAUCAGCUUGUUGGUGGGGUAGUGGCUUACCAAGGCUUUGACGGGUAGCCGGCCUGAGAGGGUGACCGGCCACAUUGGGACUGAGAUCCGGCCAAGGCGCCUACGGGGGGAAGCGGGGGGGAAUAUUGCACAAUGGCCGGAGGACUGAUGCAGCAACGCGGCGUGGGGAAUGACGGCCUUCGGGUUGAAAACCGCUUUCGCCUGCGACGAAGCGUGAGGGAGGGUAAUGGGAAAAGAACCACGGUCUAACCACG
rnacentral:rRNA from 1 species